GACGAACGCUGGCGGCGUGCUUAACACAUGCAAGUCGAACGGUAAGGCCCUUCGGGGUACACGAGUGGCGAACGGGUGAGUAACACGUGGGUGAUUUGCCCUGCACUUCGGGAUAAGCCUGGGAAACCGGGUCUAAUACCGGAUAGGACCACUGCCUGCAUGGGUGGUGGUGGAAAGCUUUUGCGGCGUGGGAUGGGCCCGCGGCCUAUCAGCUUGUUGGUGGGGUGAUGGCCUACCAAGGCGACGACGGGUAGCCGGCCUGAGAGGGUGACCGGCCACACUGGGACUGAGAUACUGCCCAGACUCCUACGGGAGGCAGCAGUGGGGAAUAUUGCACAAUGGGCGCAAGCCUGAUGCAGCGACGCCGCGUGAGGGAUGACGGCCUUCGAGUUGUAAACCUCUUUCAGCACCGACGAAGCGCAAGUGACGGUAGGUGCAGAAGAAGGACCGGCCAACUACGUGCCAGCCGCCGCCGUAA
rnacentral:rRNA from 1 species